GACAGGAUAAAGACAUGCUGUGGAAGAGAGACAGAGAUUAAUAACUAAUGAUUACAUUCAGAGUGGUGUAUAAACACAUAGUGAGAGAAAAAUAAUACUUCUUACCUAAGAAGUAACUACACUCUAAAAAAUAUUCACGGUGUUUGUAGGUAGAACUUAACAAAAAAGCAUUUUUCUACUUAAAAAAGUAAGUUGUCUACAUGUACACGUUUCAGUGAGUUGACUAAUCAAUGUUAUAAGUUAGUGCAACACAGAAAUUAAUAAACACCUCCUUAACUUAAAUGUUUGAGUAUAUUGAACAAAAUACUUUUGUCAUCAAUCAACAACAGAAAAUAUUAAGUUUGUGUAACAUGUAAAAGUGAGUUUGAACAUCCUUCAUGUUUGAACUGCCCAUAACUGGACCAUAACGAAAAAAUAAAUUACAACUGCCAUAAAAAAAGACGAAACGGAAAAAAACAGAGGUUGGCACCACUACCUGGUAAGUUUCUUGUUUUAUACUCUUUUAUAAAUAUGUACUAGUUACAGGAAUUCACUGCGUAAGUUUAGUCUGACAAUGGCAGCUACAUGGUGUGAAUUGACACUCUGUGUUAUGCUAGUUGUUACUCUAUAAAAGUAUAAAAGAGCGUUUGUAUUUUUUCCUGUUAUUAAUGAAAUCUGUCACUCUGGUGGUUACUUUGGUUAGCCAUAGGUGUGUAUGAGACCAUGCAUACAGCAGAGGGUAACCCCGUAGCAUAUGUUCGUAUCAUCACAGGCGUAGCAGUUGUCUGCAUUCUUAUCACUUUGUGGGAGUAGAGGUGUGUUUCCCCUAGACUGUGUUCGAGUUCGGUGGAAACAAGAAGAGAGGUCGCAAUCCGUUGCCUGGUGGUGUAUUUGAAAGAGAAAGAGGAGAACAGGAGACUGUUGGUCAUCUUAAGCCUGCUGGGUCUCCAAAUGAUGCUGUCCCUCCUCGACUUUUAAAAGAGGUGUUACCUACAGUUGGUCCUUUGGUGCUUGAGCUGGUAAACCAUAGUCUGAUGUCAGGUGUUGUCCCUAAAGAUUUUAAACAUGCAGUAGUCAAACCCCUGAUUAAA